GAUGAACGCUGGCGGCGUGCCUAAUACAUGCAAGUCGAGCGAACAGACUAGGCGCUUGCUCCUCUGACGUUAGCUGCGGACUGGGGAUUAACACGUGGAUAACCUACCUAUAAGACUGGGAUAACUUCGUGAAACCGGAGCUAUUUCCGGAUAAUAUAUUGAACCGCAUGGUUCAAUAGUGCAAGACGUCUUUGCUUUCACUUAUAGAUGGCUUCGCGCCGCAUUAGCUAGUUGGUGAGGGAACGGGAUAACAAGGCAACGAUGGGUAGCCGACCUGAGAGGGUGAAGGGCCACACGGGAACUGAGAAACGGUACAGACACCUAAGGGAGGAAACAGUAGGGAAUCUUACGCAAGGGGCGAAAGCCUGACGGAGCAAAGCCGCGGGAAGGAUGAAGGACUAAGGAUCGGAAAACGCAGUAAGUAGGGAAGAACAAAUGUGUAAGUAACUAUGCACGUGUUGACGGUACCUAAUCAGAAAGCCACGGCUAACUACGUG
rnacentral:rRNA from 1 species